rnacentral:tRNA from 1 species
GGAGAGGUUGCCUAGUGGUCAACGGCAGCAGACUGUAAAUCUGCCGGUUUUUACCUUCGAAGGUUCGACUCCUUCCCUCUCCACCA